rnacentral:rRNA from 1 species
GUGCAGCAGUCGCGAAUCUUCCACAAUGGACGAAAGUCUGAUGGAGCGACGCCGCGUGCGGGAUGAAGGCCUUAUGGGUUGUAAACCGCUGUCAGGGGGGAAGAACAUCGGAAUGAACAAUACUCACUCCGACUGACGUUACCCCCAGAGGAAGCUCCGGCCAACUCCGUGCCAGCAGCCGCGGUAAUACGGGGGGAGCAAGCGUUGUCCGGAAUUAUUGGGCGUAAAGGGCGUGUAGGCGGCGAGGUAAGUCGAAUGUGAAAUCUCACGGCUCAACCGUGAAACUGCGUUCGAAAACUACCCUGCUUGAGUACGGGAGAGGUGUACGGAAUUCCUGGUGUAGCGGUGGAAUGCGUAGAUAUCAGGAAGAACACCGGUGGCGAAGGCGGUACACUGGCCCAGUACUGACGCUGAGGCGCGAAAGCGUGGGAGCAAACAGGAUUAGAUACCCGUGUAGU